rnacentral:rRNA from 1 species
AACGAACGCUGGCGGCAGGCUUAACACAUGCAAGUCGAACGCAUCGCAAGAUGAGUGGCAGACGGGUGAGUAACGCGUGGGAACAUACCCUUUUCUACGGAAUAGCUCUGGGAAACUGGAAUUAAUACCGUAUACGCCCUACGGGGGAAAGAUUUAUCGGGGUAUGAUGAGCCCGCGUUGGAUUAGCUAGUUGGUGGGGUAAAGGCCUACCAAGGCGACGAUCCAUAGCUGGUCUGAGAGGAUGAUCAGCCACAUUGGGACUGAGACACGGCCCAAACUCCUACGGGAGGCAGCAGUGGGGAAUAUUGGACAAUGGGCGCAAGCCUGAUCCAGCCAUGCCGCGUGAGUGAUGAAGGCCUUAGGGUUGUAAAGCUCUUUCACCGGAGAAGAUAAUGACGGUAUCCGGAGAAGAAGCCCCGGCUAACUUCGUGCCAGCCGCCGCCGUAAGAC